GAGAAUUGCUUGAACCCAGGAGGCAGAGGUUGUAGUGAGCCGAGACUGUGCCACUGCACUCCAGCCUGGGUGACAGAGUGAGACACUGUCUCAAAUUAAAAAAUAAUAAUAAUAAUAAUAAUAAAGAGUAAUACAAGACCAUCCCUGCUCCAGAGCUCCCCUUGGGGUCAGCAGGGCCUUCCAAGUUCUCCCUCUGCCCCUCCUGUGCCUUCCCCCGGAGAUGCUGACCCCAGGAGCACUCCCUGAUGAACCUCCUGCCUGGCAGUCUCCCUCUCAGAGCUGGCUUUCUAGGAAAGCUGACCUGCCUCCACGAAGCCACGUCUCUCCUACCUGGGGCACCUGUGGGCGCCUCCCACCUCUUCAAAUGCCCUGUAACAGUCAUCCAUUCAGCAGAUCCUCACUGAAGGCCUACUAUGCACCAGAUGCUGUUCUGGGUGCUGACGGUAAAGCAAAAUGAAGCAGACACCCCUGCCCUCAUGGAGCUCAGGCCUGCAGAUGAGCAGGCAAAAAGCAACCAAAAAUUUAAUGUGAUGACGUUAAACAUCAUACCACAGAAUGAUACAACAGAGAAUCUGAUUGUGGCUGGGGGCACCUGCUUUAGAACAAACUUCCUCUGGGUCAAGAAGGGUCUCUCUGAGGAGCCACGUCUGAAUCAGAGGCCAGUUCCUCGAUAAGUUGAAAGAUGAACAUUAACCAGGCAAGUUCAAAGGCUCUUGGAUGGGAAGGAAAUUGAGGUGUUGGAUUCAAGGGAACAAAAGUGAAGCUGAUGACGGGAGAUGAGGAAAAGAAAGGACAAAAUGAACCCAAACUUGCUCAAGUUGGUAUUCUAUGCUGCAGUGAAAAUGAAUGAACAAGAUCUUCAUUUUUGGCUGGGCGCAGUGGCUCACACCUGUAAUCCCAGAACUCUGGGAGGCCGAGGUAGGUGGAUCACGAGGUCAGGAGCUCAAGACCAGGCUGGCCAAGAUGGUGAAACCUGGUCUCUCCUAAAAAUGCAAAAGUUAGCUGGGUGUGGUCGUGGGCACCUGUAAUCCCAGCUACUCGGGCGGCUGAGACAAGAGAAUCACUUGAACCCGGGAGAUGGAGAUUGCGGUGAGCCAAGAUCGUGCCAUUGCACUUCAGCCUGGGCAACAGAGCAAAACUCCUUCUCGAAAACAAAAAACAAAAAAGAAGAAGCAAAAGUUGGCCGGGCACGGUGGCUCACGCCUGAUAUCCCAGCACUUUGGGAGGCCGAGGCAAGCGGAUCACUUGAGCUCAGGGGUUCGAGACCAGCCUAGA
rnacentral:lncRNA from 1 species